AUCAGAAUGCGUCCUCACUGGGAAGAGAGUGUCUGCAGAUUCCUCCUGGUCGUGAACUUCCCCAUGAAUCGUACCUCCAAUUCCAUUGAAAUACAAAUGAACCAGAUGGCAAUCUGAGGGCCACCAGAUCAAAGACAUGAUCAUAGAAGACUCACAGUUGUGGCGUGUUUUGGGAUCAUGACUGGUUCACUCACUCCUACUGGAUGCUGGAGGCCAGCCGAGGCACGAUGCCUUUAAGAGGAAGCGCUUUCAUCCACAUUUGUGAUCCAUCUGUCGGUUGAGCUUUCUUUCUUUCUUUUUCUUUCUUUGUCUUUUUUCACUUUUCCACAGUUGACUUUUCCACUGCCCAUCCUUUCCCCUCCUCUUACUUGUGCUUAUUAGCAUGUCGAUUAGGUUCCCUGGACGCUCAUGUCCAGAGACACAACCUGCUUCUACGCUGAGGAUCUGAAUCUGAAAGUAUUUAUCCCAUUUUUAAGAGAAAAUGACUCAAACAGAAAAAGUUACUUCUGUCUGUUUUAUUUCCUGAAUGGUUUGUGUGAGCGACAAGAAGAAGCUCCUAUAGACGACUGAGAGAUGCCACAAUGUGUCCAAGCGGUGCGCGCUGAGUUUGCUGUUUGCGUCCCACGGUGAUGACAUGUGGUCAUCAGUAUGUGAUUGGCUGCCAGGGGGCUCAGCAGGCUACACCCCCCCCCAGGCCCUCCGCCCUUCCUCUGGGAACACCCGGGACCACCGCCUCGGGUUCUUAACUGAGGUUUCUCUGUGAAGAAAUCUGUUUUUGCAGAACUAAUCUAGAAUCUAACCCCAGUAUUGUAAGUUGAUACAUUCCUUUUGGAAAUUGGUGUUUUAUUUAAUUCUAUGGUUUUUUAUUUCCGAACUUUAUUUUCCUUAAUCACCGCUUUAUUUAAUGAUUUCACUUUCCAUCAAAAGUCUUUGGCCCUGGCCUGUGAUUAUGAAUAAGUAUAAAGUAAAUUAAGCAGUUAGUAUAUUUGUAGUUAUCACAAUUCAUAUUGUGAGAUACUGUGAAAAGAGUCCCUGGAACCUGGGUUCUUUUUUUGUGUUAAUUUCACCAAUCAAUCAAUCAAUCAAUCUUCACCUGCUGGCUAAGGAGGCGGAGACUAUAAAUAGUCUGCUCCCCUGGCAGUUCACCUUUUUCCACUCCCUGCCAGUACUCCAGCGUAUCCUCAAGUGUGCGUAUUCAAGUUAACGUGAGUGGUCAAUUCAAUUUAUUCUUUUGAUUGUUUAAUUUGUAUGCCUUUGUGAUGCCUUUUUGUUACAUGUCCUACAUUAUUUUAUUUAAUCGUAUUGUUUAUUUGUUUAUGUUUUUGAUGCAGCACACAGAGGAAAUAUCAAGCUUACAAAAAGGAAAAAAACUACUGGUGUUACAUCCAACCUGCCUUGCAUCGUUUUCUCACUCCUUGCCGUUCGGGUCUUCUGAACGAGACUCUGUCUGCUCACCCAACAUUCACUUCCCCCAAACCACAUCACCCCUACAGUUCCUUCAGAUACUGUAUAUUGUGUUUCUUUUUGAACCGUAUAUUAUCUUCAGGUGACUGUUAAAAGUUUAAAAGAAUGGCUGUAUACUUUUAAACACAUGUGUACAAGUUGAUAAACUCA
ensembl:lncRNA